rnacentral:misc_RNA from 1 species
UUUUACAAGUUAAAUUAAAUUUGUUUUUUAACAUAAAAAAGUUAGUUGUUGCUAAAGUUUAGCAACAAGUUAUUAGUCAUUAGUUAGCAAAGUAACUGUUUAUUUAUACAAUUAAUGUGAAUGUGAUAAGUUAUUUGUGUAUAAGAAAGUAUUUUAAAAAGUUUCUUAGCUUAUCAUAUAUCAUAAAAUUUGUGUAUAAUAGUUAGUAAAGAGAUAUGAUUACAACAAUCGAAGCCAAUGAAGUUCAAACUUAUGAAAUUGAAACCAUUGGAAUUAAUCAGAUAACUUGUUUAAUUAGUGAAAACAUACACACACUUUCUGUUUUGGAUUGUGCAGUUAAAAUAAUGGAAAAUAUCUACACUUCAGAACUGUAUUGUUAUCAAAUGAUGAACCAUCAAAAAUGGAGGGAGGUGGUUUCUGGGCUCUUUCAGUUACUUGGUAAAUUAGAUAAAAGUUUUUCAGGAUCUGCUGCAUAUGUUAUUGGAACACUAUUUAACAACGAAGUAUGUAAGAAUCAGCUAAUUGAGUGGAUGAUUUCAGAUAAUGCUGAUGUUGUCAGCAUAUUUCUUGUAAAUCUGAAUGGAUUAUUAAGAUGGAAUGAUGAGGAAACCUUACUAAAUGUUUCAGCAAUUAUUAGCUCAUUGGCUGCUUCAUUUGAAGGUCGACUGUGGUUGUUGAAGCAGUAUGAAUUUGAUGACACUAUUCAACUUUUAUGUGAAAUGCUUCAGUCAUCAAGUAUUUCUUUGACGCAUAACGCAUCUCUUGCCAUAGCAAGAAUAACAUCUACUGAAGAAGGGUGUGCUCGUAUUAUUAAUCAAAGAUGUGUUCACAAGUAUUUUCUUACUUUUAUCAGCGCACUUGAUUUAGUUGACUGCCAGUAUAAUAUUGUUCUUACAAUCGCUUGUUUAUUUAACAUAGAAAGUUGUCAGAGAAACAUGCUUUCUUUAAAUGAAUCAAGUGAGAUGAUUGAAAAAUUGGUGAAUCUGCUAUUUGCAAGUAAAGCUGAGACCAGAAAGGGGUCAUGCUUUGCUUUAAGUUUGCUUGCUUUAAAUAAGCACGGCAAUCAACGUAUAUUAGAACAUCAAAGUAUGGAAAAGAUGCUGUUUGGUAUUGUUAGCUUUUUAAAGGAUACUCACAAUCACGAUCACGAUCUUUCUUUGUUUUCACUGUUCUUCUUAAAGUCACUGAUCUGUCGUAAAAAAAGUUGUGUUAUGUUGAGAGAUAAUAAAAAUAUAAAACUGAUGAUGAUGGAAGUCUAUGAAACAUGUAACUUAAACACAGAAAUUUCAGACAAAUUGAAUAGUAUUUUAUUGAGUAUAGAAGAUCUUCCUAAACCCCCUCCACCUUUAGUCAAAGUGAAAAGUGCAUUUUCAGUUAGCAUAAGUUGGGAAGUUUACGUUCCACAAAAUAAUUUCAAAGUACUUUAUCAUAUUAUUCAAGAUGGUGUUGAAAUCUUCAAGUUGCAUGGCUCAAGUGUUAUUGUGGAUGGACUUAAGCCAUUUUCCAAGUACUCAUUUGCAAUGUUUUACUCAAGUGAAGGUGCAAAAAGUUCUUUAAGUGAAGUAGUGUUCAUUGACACUCCAGAAUCAGUGCCCAGUGCUCCUACAAAAUUUUGUGUUCUUUUUUCUACCACAUCGAAAUUGAAACUUAGCUGGGAUGAACCUUUGGAAAAAAAUGGUGUAAUUAUAGGGUAUGAACUCUCUGUUGAAGGAAAACCAAUAAGUAUAUUUUUAAAGACAAAAAGUUAUAUAAUGACACAUCUACAAUCUUCAACUCAGUACAAUUUUGAGAUACGUGCUCUAACUAGUGAAGGAAAAGGAUUAGCAGCUUAUUUGACAGGAACAACAAAUACUCUUGGUAAUAUAUAGAGGAAUUGAACGCUGUUUUACUGCGCAAGCUCUUCAGCCAACUAAAGUUUAUAGUUUUACAGUUUCAGCAUGGAUGAGUGAGGGUAGAUGCGAAAGUUUACCCAGAACACGCCGAAUCAGCAAGCAAU